CUCUGGCCAGAGGCCAGGUGCCAUAGUUAGGGUAGCAGCUGCGGCUCUCCACAUAGAAGAAAGGAGAACAAUGAAUUUGAAUGAAAACUUGAAAGCUGAGCCUAGUGGUGUUUGACAGUUUAGUAAGUGUCAUCAGAUUGAUUAAGUGGACUGUAGCUUCACUUCUAAGUGACUCCUCAAGUGAGAAGAUAAAAGAAAUGUGUCACACUAAUGGUGAAAGAAUAAUUAGACAAAUAAUAUUCUCUCUCUGGACAUAUUUAAUGAAAGAGUGAAUGCAUCAAGAAGAAUACCGUGCUGCUUGAAAUCAAGAAAUGAAGUAAAGUUUUUCUAUCUAAAGAUACCCCCAAAUAAACACUAAAUAAACACAGGAA